AAUGAAUCUGAAAGGUUUGGAGAUGUGUGUUUUCGAUCAGUGCGUGUUGAACAAAACCCCUUGGUUUGGGGGGCAGAAGAUGUCUUGUCUUACGAAGUGCCCAUUUCAGUUUGCCUACAGUGAAAUAUACUCGGAGUCCUGUAGUGAUUUCAUGCUCUUUAUUGCAGCUUGUAAAACAGUGAUUGAAUUGCCCCCCCAAAACCUCCGGCUUUUAUAUACAUUAUUUACACAAUGAGUCCCGUCUGAUUGGCUGAUUCUGCUUCCCUCCUGGAGCCUGAUUGGUCUUUUCCUGCAAGCCAAUCAGUUGUUGCAUUCUAGGAUCCUACUUGCCUAUUGUUCUAGAAUCCAAGCUUAGUACAUAAUACCUACUGGUGGUGAUGCUUGCCCAGUCCAAUAAAGCACGGCAAGCACAACAUUGCUGCUUUGUCUCUUUUGCCCAGAGCACUGAUAGGAAGCAGCUGAAGUUGACCCUUCCCUUGUAGCAGGCAAGGAGCAUUACCACACCCUGUGUUGAGCUUCCUGUUGUAAACGGUGACUCUGCAUGGGAAAGGAAGUGCAAUUGGGCGGGGAAGGGUAUGGACCACAGCUCGGCAGAGUGACAGGGCAUAAGCUUCAAAUGCAGAAGUCUUUGAAUUCAGUCUCCAGUUACAAAGGAUUCUUGGGCUGGGAAAGAUCUCUGCCCUGAGACUUGGGAGAACCAGCUAAAGAAGAAUGGCAACUUAAGCUGAUGUGCAGCUUGCAGAUCUAACAUAUAGAAUAAGAGAACAAGAAGAAGAUAUGUUUAGAGAAGUUUGGAAAAUGUUUAUUGAAUCUAUGGGGGGAAAUCGUGCACACUUGAAAAUGUGGGCAGCAUUCAGAUUAAUUCAACAGUGUAAAUAAGUUUUGAUGGAUAUAAUAAUGGAAUACGGAAUGGUUUAGUUUAUGUAAAAUAUGCAGAGAUUUAUGCUAUGCAAAAUGAACCAUGUAAAGAGAAGAAGAGAAGUCACUGAUAUUUUAAGGAUGUUUAAAUCAGUAUUCAAAAUUGUAAAACAGAAAAUUUAAUUUAAAAAUUAUGAUUGAAAGAAAGAGAGAAAAAGAAAGAAAGAAUGUUUCUAUUGUCUCCCAAGGUAGGAGAUUGGUGUGAAACUUUAUGGUCUAGAUUUUCAAAGACUGGAGGUUUCAAAGUCUGACAUCCCCUUGGUGCCAAUAUAAGGGCAUCACAGAAAUAAUCUUCUCACUCACCCCUUUCUCUUUCUCUUUCUCUUUCUCUUUCUCUUUCUCUUUCUCUUUCUCUCUCUCCCGUUGUAGGCUGCAUGGAUCAAUGGACUGGCACAGCAUCAGUUAACAGGCAACGUGGUAGGUUCAAGAAAAACUCAUUUUUAAUUACAGCUGAGCAGAUUGAGGAUGCCAAGGAAUGCGAAUUGAGCACGGGGGCAUUCCUGAGCCCUCCCGGGUUAAGUUCUCGAUAGCUGUCUAAACCCAAAAUGUCAAGACGCUGCUUCCCCUUUACCUCCCACAGAACUGCCUCCCACAGAUACCCACAGAUACCAGGGCCAACUCCAGAGGGUGGCAAGAAUCAGCAUUUGCUCCAAAACCAGGAGAUGGCCCAACAUGCAAAUGGCGGCACCAUUCUCUACCCGACUCACCACCUUCGGUUUCUACGGAGUAUCCAAGAAGAUCAAGCGCAGCCUCAGAGAAUUUUUAGUUCACAUGUUCCACCUUUUCCAGGUUAGGGCAAGGGGCGUACUGGCAAUGCCAUGCUGUUUGAUGAGUUACAGGUACAGUGGUACCUUGGUUUAAGAACAGCUUAGUUUAUUAACAACUUGGAUUAAGAACGCUGCAAACCCAGAAGUAGGUGUUUUAGUUUGUGAACGUCUUUUGCUUCCUGUUGAGUGUUUUCCAUUUGUAAAUUGAGUCCCCCGCUGCUAUGGGAAAGCACGCCUUUGUUUAAGAAUGCUUUGGUUUAAGAACGAACUUCCGGAACAGAUUAAGUUCAUAACCAGAGGUACCACUGUAUUCUGUGGUAAAAUGCUGAGAUUGCAGCAUUGCAGGGGGUCGGAUUCUCAGUGUACCUGCCAACUCUACAAUUCUAUGAGAUAGCCAAGUUGACACACGCACACAUAUUUCAAAGGAAACUGUUAUGACCAAUAUUUAUUUCUUUUAAUAGAUACGAGCCAAUCAAACCUAUCACAUCUCCUGUUAUCUCUCCUUCACUGGGAUUACCACAUUAAUAACAGGACCUCUGGAAAUACGCAGCUCCUUUUUGUAAAAAGAAACAGUACAUUUCUCACGUUAUUGUUUAAUCCUCCCUCUACACCUCCUUAAUCCUAAUCUGUGACAUCACUACAGUGUCCACAGGUUUCUGAUUUCAUUGGAGGAAAUGGCAAAGGAAAUUCAAAAGCAGAAAUAGAAAGCUUUUAUCCCAGCUACAACCAUUGUUCAUAAGACCUCAACAUUUAUCAGAUUAUAAAUGCACGCUUUUGGUUCACCAGCCAAUAUUGCACAAUGAGCACUCACACUUUAUAUGUGUGUGCCCUUCUUUGCGGGAUCGCGCGUGGGGCUACAGUUCCCAGGGAACUCUCUAGUAGAUGGGGACUUGCUUCUCAGUGUUGUUAUUCAGAGGUUCACACCCAGCCUCAGUAGUCAAGUUUCUUGCUAAGAGGUGGGGCCAGCCCCAUUUAUAAAUAGGGGGUGGCGCUGACAAUAGCCAGGCAGUCGGCUCUGGAGAUUCACCCUCCCUACCAUCCCUUUGUUUAAUAUUUUCUUGUUUUCAGGUUAACUUUUUCUUCCUGUUUAGCAGGCGCUGCUACGGGCUUUGGCUGGUUGCUGUUGAAGGACAGGGAAGAAAUUUUCCUGCAUUGGCAGGUUUUGUCUUCCCCGUAGCAAUUCGUCACAACUUUUGUGGCGGUUAUGGCCUUGGGUGGAAUCCUUUAGUCUUUUCUUCCCUAUAAUGGCAGGGGAGGGUGAAGUGGUGACUCACGCCCCUGCGGUGGCAAUUCCAGGGUCCCCUCUUAAAGAGGUUAUAUAAAUGGGUGUCACUGGCCAUACAUACACUGAAAGGUCAUCAGUGAACUACCCUGCUUGCAGGGAUAUGGGCUGGGCUGCCUGCUACACUUACAUCUCGCAGAGCACCCCCAUUUCCCAUUUACCCUGAAGUGCCCCCGUUCCCCCAGCUGGGGACCUGAGAGGGAUACACUCCCAAGGCCAAAGCCAAGGUCUUCCUACAUUCGGUAGUUUAAUAAAGCUGUGGCCUAAUUUUAAUUCCAUACCACAUAGUCAGAGUCUUUAUUCCUUCCUUAUGAUCCCUGGGGGCUGGGGCUGUCGCCCCUGGUCACGCCAUGUCUUUCUGCCCCAGCUAGCUGAGGGCCUGCCAUCAUAGAUUUCCAUGGAUGCUGAGGCUCCUUUGAAGCUCUUUCACUUCCAUCUUCCUGGUCGGUCUGUUUGGUCUUGUCUAUCUUCAACAGAUCUCAUAACUGUGGAAACCCACAGAACUGACAAAGGAACAAUAGCUUGUAAAAUGACAGCAACUGAUUGGUUACUCACUUUUCCACAGUGAUCUUUAUUUCUGCCAAGCGGUUCCUCAUACUACCAUGCCUCUUCUGCGGUAUUUUUUUUUUUUUUAAGUUUGGGUUUAAUGGGCCACAAACUGCACCUCCUUUCUCCUGAUGCCCUUAACUUUGCCAAGCACUUCCCACAACCAAUAACAUUGAAUCAGCUUCCCCGCCCCACACACACACCCUCU